rnacentral:lncRNA from 1 species
GAUACGAUAUAUAUUUAAUAUAUCGUAUAUUUAUUCAUUAGUUAUUAUUUAAUUAUUUAAUAUAUAUUAUUUAAGUAUUAAUUUAGUUAGAGCCGUAGGUUUAAUGAUUAUAGGAUAGAUAUUAAGUAUUUUAUUAGUUUAGGUAAUUAUCUUUCCUAGUUAGAUUAUGAUUCUAGGGUUUUAUUCUCUUUAAAUAGUCGUCUUGUGCUAGGGUUUUAUUAUGAAGAGAAAUAAUAAAGAAGAGUUUUCUUACGUUUCGUAAAGAAAUCUUAUGAUACACAAGAGAUCGUAUCAAUUGGUAUCAAAGCGAAGUUGCGAUAACACCAACGCUUCGUUAGCAAAGCAGAGAUUAUAUCAAAGCUAAGCUGGAGCAAAGUUGAGAUCACAUCAAAACUUUGUGAAAAUCAUGAUGUCCGAAACAAGACGGUUAGAGCGAUUGGAGAAAUCCGUAGAGAGAUUACGGAUUGAUUUUCAGAAAUUGCUCGAACAAAGUCACAGACGACGUCAACACCAACACAAAAGUCGAAGGGACCGCCGCCCAUUACCGCCAACGCCACCGCCGCUGCCGCUGCCGAGUCUAUCGCCGGAGGAAGAGGAAGAGGACGACGAUGAAUUUUUCAAAGAGCCACCGCCGCCGCCGCUGCAGAGCCUAUCGCCGGAAGAAGAGGAAGAGUACGACGAUGACUUUUUCGAAGAACUCCAAUUUUUUGUGAGUUCGCCAGAAGAAGAGGAAUCAGAUUCAACUGAGAUGAAGUGGGACGAAGAGCCGAAAGAAGAAGAAUCGGAGUCAACCGAGAUAAAGUGGGACGAAGACGAGAAAUUAACCAGAGAGGAGAGCGAAGAGUUACUAUGGAUAUUGGGAGAUUUCCAUGGUGUUCAAAAGAAAGGAGAAGAAGAAACCGAUGGUCAGUUUGGAGGAGACAAAAUCUACAAAGACGAUUGAAAAAGUUUAUGUAUCGGGAAAAAGAUUGAAUAUUUUCGCUAAAGUAGCCUUUGGAAUUUCGAUGGAUCAGCAUGAACAAUGUAUUAAAAAGCUCGGUCGUUCAUCGUGUUUUUCGGAGUCAAUCGUGAAGCAAGUCAAUGAAGUCAAACAUAGGUGGAAACGCAAAGGAGAGGGAUCAAAUUGACUCGAACCUUGAGGACAAGGUUCAUUUCAAGAGGGGUGGUUUGAUACGAUAUAUAUUUAAUAUAUCGUAUAUUUAUUCAUUAGUUAUUAUUUAAUUAUUUAAUAUAUAUUAUUUAAGUAUUAAUUUAGUUAGAGCCGUAGGUUUAAUGAUUAUAGGAUAGAUAUUAAGUAUUUUAUUAGUUUAGGUAAUUAUCUUUCCUAGUUAGAUUAGGAUUCUAGGGUUUUAUUCUCUUUAAAUAGUCGUCUUGUGCUAGGG